GCCCCGGUCGUCUAGUUGGACAAGGAUCUCGGCCUUUCGAGCCGAGGAUCCCGGGUUCGAAUCCCGGCCGGGGCGCCA
rnacentral:tRNA from 1 species